GCUGGGAUACUGGAGGUCGGCUCCGCGCCUCCUGCGGGUUUAGCCACCCUUCAGUUAGAAAGGUUGCUUAGGUUGGAUCUGUUGUACCUCUGCGGCCUUAUUGCGAGUCUCUGAAUUGACAAACUGGAUGUCAGGGAAGAAAUGGUGAGGGGCUGUUUAAUGCCGAUAUCUGGAGAAAGGACCAAUUUCAAAGGCAUCUUCAUUUUGACUUCGGGAGGACACAGGCAUUUAAGCAGCAUCAGUCAUGUUCCAAGCACUGGAAGAACACAGAUGAGCAAGUCCCAGACCUCAAGAAGAAUAUAACUUCAGGAAAGAGGUUAUAUGGACACAGGUGGAGAGUUGGAAUCCAUAUCUACAGAGAGCAUUAUAUCUGAACACAUGGACACACCCUUUAAGCCAGGUUUCAAUGAAAAAACGUGGCCAAUCCAGUUAUAACAUUGUCAUUGGUGAUGUUAACGUGGAGACAGUUGCGUUCUUGCUCAACAGGGUGAGACUUUGCAAAAGGCUUGGGCAUGUGCAUGGAGCCAAUGUGUCUGGCUUCAGCCACCUCCUUUGCCUACAUUGCCAAAGAAGCAGAAGCAAAGGAACCAUCUCCUCAUUGUUCUCUUGCAAUAAUGGGCUGACUGCCCAAGGGGGGAGGGUGGUGCCUAGGCAUUUACGUGACCUGCUAUGGAAGGGUGGGGUUACUGUCUCAAAAUCCCCGCUCUUAAAAACUGAAGAAAGGAGGCCCUUACAACUAACUAAGAAAAAAUAAUUGAUUUGCAAGCCUGCUGGCUGAUGUUAGUAGGGACAAAGUCUGGAACACUUUACUGCUGGCAAGGACAGCUGAAGAAAAUGCAGUCUAGGCCAUCAUAGCAGAUGCGAAGAAGGCUGCAGCUCCUCACCCUGCUGCCCAAAAUCAAAAGGCUGCCUCGUUUUCCUUUUGACCAGAGACACACAGUCAAGCUCUUUUGAAUCUGGCAUCACAGAUGUUGAGACAUAUUUUUGCGGAGAAGUUUAUGAUGACAUUUAUGAGCUGUGCCUCAUAGUGAUCUCUCAAGGUGAGUGAAGGCAAUCCAACGGAUGGGGAAACUGAAGUGUCAGGAGCCCCUUGCAGGCCCCAGCAAGUCA